rnacentral:piRNA from 1 species
UAGGAGUUGCCUUGGUCGCGGUGUCCUU